AAUAUACUACCUCUGUCCCAAAUUCUUGUCUUAAAUUUGUCUAAAUACGGAUGUCUUAAAUUUGUCUAAAUACGGAUGUAUCAAAUCAUAUUUUAGUAUUAGAUACAUUCGUAUCUAGACGAAUCCAAGACAAGAAUUUUGGUACGGAGGGAUUAUUUG
rnacentral:pre_miRNA from 1 species